ensembl:lncRNA
ACGCUGAGGCGAGCGAAGCGACUCCGGUGCUCCUCCGUCGUUCCUCGACCGCCGCCGCCGCCAACCCCGCGCCCCUGCUCUUCCCCGCCGCGCCGCGCCUGCAGACCCCGCCCAGCGCCGCGCCGCUCGGCCGCACCGGGCGCGCCCCGGGAGCUCCCGGCAUCUUCGCGGCGCCGGCGACCGGGGGAGGCCGAGCCGGGUUCCUCUACGUAACCAGCGCUCUGGAGAGAGACAAGAUGCGCAGGGGUCCUGGCGCAGGCAGCCGCUCCCUCCGCCGCCCCGAGGGGACGCCGUCCCCCAGGCCGGCCCCCCCCCCCGCGCCGCCAUCUUACAUCCGGGGCAGAAGCGGCGUCCCUUUCCCCGCCUUGGCAAAAUUAGACGUGUCACUAGAAAUCAGCCCCCAAAGGGGGAACCCGGAUUCCACGUCACCAAAGUGCUGAGGCCGCGGGCUGUGCUCCCCAAGCCGCUCAACGGGGCAAAGUGGGGCCGCUAACUUCUCCCGGUGUUUGUCCGCAAAGAAAAUGGCGGCACUUACCGCCGUCUAAGUGGACACGUUGUACUCUGGCUGAGGUUUAAAGUUUCUGGCACCUCCUUUCGCAUCCGGCAAGGACACCGCAACAUGCGCUCCACCCCGCGGCGUGGCCGCUGCGCCACAUUCCGCAGAAAACCGGCGGGAAAGCUGCUGCACUGCCCGCUUUAAUGCGCAGGCUCCUGAGACUUGUGGGUGGGUUUUUUUUUUUUUAAAGGCCAAGUUUGGGAAAAGGCCGACUACCCUGAGCUCCAUCUUCUUUGGGGCCAGGCGAAUUUCUUUUGCCUCCCAUUUUGAGACUUUUCUGUGAAGUUAAAUCGGUGCGAAGAAAAAAUAAGCAGGGGCUGCCAAUUAAGAUUCACAGAACGUCUAAUUCGAGUUUCCGAUAAACGAAUAAUUUUUUAGUAUAUGUAUGUCCCCUAUACUAAAAUUGUUUGAACUUGGAAUAUAGCUAGUGUCCUGUACUUUUACAUAAAUCUAGCAGUACUGUUAGUCAUCACCCUCCUGGAAAUCCAGACCACAUAAGAAAAAUAAGGAAUGGGGGAACUGAGUGUGUUCAGACUUGAGACUGCCUCUGCGCAGGCUUUGAUCCCUUCAUGAGAGGCACAAGGCUAAGGUCCAGACUCCAAACCACACACAAGGGACAUCCAUGUAUAUGACUGCUUUGGGGAACAAUAAGUAUUCUCUACCUUUAAAGCAGCACAAUGUAACUCUGAUAACAUCCUCUCAUCCAGAGAAUCUCUUUGCAAGUUAAAGAUUACAUAAUAGUGGCUUUUCAUUUCUAUUCUAUGUAGUAUUGGUGAUGGGACACAACACAGUUUCUUUAAAAAUAUUUUUUUAUUUGACUAUGCUGCGUCUUUUAUUGCUGCGCGCGCUUUUCGCUAGUUGCAGGGGGCGGGGGUUACUCUAUAGUUGCCAUGCCUGGCCUCAUUGUGGCUCCUCUUGUAGUAGAGUACAGGCUCUGGGCAUACUAUGGGCUUCAGUAAUCCCCGCAGGUGGGCUCAAUGGUUACUGCUGCCCGCCUGUAGAGCGCAGGCUGAGUGGUCGUCACCUCGGGGCGUCCUUGUUACC